CUUCAGGGUAGGGUGCAAGUCCCAACCGGCGGUAUACCCCGCGAGCCUUUGGGCAUGAAUCGGUGCAAUUCCGAUGGCGACAGUAAAGUCUGGAUGAAAGAAGUU
rnacentral:ncRNA from 1 species